rnacentral:tRNA from 1 species
CAGGGAGACAACAAUUAGAUUGUGAUGUCUAGGUAUUUUAUUCUUAGGCCGCAAUCCUGUCACCUUAAGGUCGAUCGGUACCUCAGGUUUUUGAAUUAAUUUAUAAUUAAUUCUUUGAUUUCAGUUCCUAAACUUGUCUAGGUCACACCCAACAAGGGUUUCUCCUGGGCCAUUAGCUCAGGUGGUUAGAGCGCACCCCUGAUAAGGGUGAGGUCCCUGGUUCAAGUCCAGGAUGGCCCAUUCGUUGUUGGGGGUAUAGCUCAGUUGGUAGAGCGCCUGCUUUGCAAGCAGGAUGUCAGCGGUUCGAGUCCGCUUACCUCCACUGAAACCUACCCUGGUAACUAAAUCCGGAGAAAAUUUGUUGAUGUGACUUAGAUCUGUCUACUAGAAAAGAACCUAGCUUCUUAUCAUCUUUUAGAGUUGAUAAUAUGCUGGGCUCACAUGGAUCAUUUCCAUGAGAAUUCAGUAGAACCUUGAAAACUGCAUAGAUUAGAAAGAAUAAAGCAUCUCAUGGAUGCAUAAUUUUAUUUUUUAUAGUUUAGUUUUUACUAAAUUAUAUAGAUAAAAUUCAUGUUUAAUUCUUGAGUAAAAGCCGAGCACAAUUGAUUUUGUGAUUGUAUUUAA